GAAGCAAAUAUGCUCUACCACGCAACAGAAGCAAACUCGCAGCAGUCCCUCCUCCCUCGUCAGCCACUGCCUGGUCUUCUCGAUGGAGGUGGAGGAGUAGGGGGUCCCGCCGGAUCAGAGGCGUGCGGGCACAGCGCUGGGCAUCUCCGGCAGCGGCGGCGACCUGCAGGCCUAGUGCUAUGGUGGGGGCGCUCGAUUUAAUCCAGCGCCAUGGACCGGUACCUGCAGAAGUGAGAGAAGAUGAGGGAGAGAGAGAAGGAAGGAGAGGAGGGAGAAAGAUAGAGGAAAGAGGAGAGGGAGAUGCAGUGGCGGAUGGGAGAGGAUCGCCGGCCGGCACCCGCCAUCGCAUCUCUCCUCCCCUUCUGGUCUCGUCGACCGUAGUGCCCCUUCCCCUCUGGUCAACGUUGAGGAAUAUGGGGAACACAGAGCCAGCGAGGAAGACGGUUCGGCCCUGCCGCCGAUGCCUCCCGGCUACUUCCAUCACGCACCGUUCGGUCUUCUUCACUCACGGUCCUUAUCUUAAGCGGACGGAACACGCAGCCGCAUCCGCAAAGUGGCAGAAGGGUCCGGGCUGCAUCGGUGGUGGUCCGAGCGCUGCCGCCUCCAUCCCCGCACCAUCUUCGUCACACGCAGCCGCCUCCUUCCGCACCCCUCUUCUUCGCGUCCUAUCAGGGAGUAACAAUAUUAUCGAGUUAGCAUCCUUUUCGUGGAAGAGGAGUGGGAAUUUAAAGGUGCAUGCUACAUACUCCCUCCGUUCGGAAUUACUUGUCGCAGAAGUGGAUGUAUCUAGACAUAUUUUAGUUCUACAUACAUCCAUUUCCGAGACAAGUAAUUUCGAACGGAGGGAGUAGAAGCUUAGAUCUGUAAUCAAGCUGUGGAAGAGAUUACUGGAAGAGACACUUCUAUAAGCAGAGACUUGUUGUUUUUCAUUCAGUUGAAGAGCUCUCCAGGCUUAAGAUCUUUCUAGGAUAAUUGCUUCGCUAAAUCUGAAGGAUUCGCUCAUGUGCCAAAGCCUUCUUGGGGAAGCCUUCCUGGACUCCUGGUCAACCACGACAAUCACGACAGGGUGAGUGGAUUUUGAAUCUUUCUUGCGCCGUCAGAUCGGAUUCGAUGUGUAUAUGGUAGUUAUGGACUGCUGACUGCUGAAUGUUGUGUUUCCUCUGUGUACUAUGUGAGCUUAAGCGAGCGGAACACCAAAGGAGGGUCUUGGGGAUGACGGAGGCUUCGACGACAACCUCAAAGGCGAGAGGGUGCAGGCUACUCUCUCGUGACGCUGGCUUAGGAAAAGUUAUUCGGCUCCAUUUACGAUUGGUUCAUUUGGCUGUUGUAGUGCGUGUUCCGAUUGGUCUUUCGAUUCAUUGCCGCUACGUCCAUGUCAGCGCAAGGAGACGAACUAUUCGUAGGUGUCAGAUAACACCUCCCCUACUUCUCUUCCUCACGAAGCAAAGGAGGCUCGGUGGGGGAUGCUAUGAUGAAUUGGGCUGAUCAAAGUGGGAACAGAGCCAGAAAGCGGUUGAGGCACCACCUACUGUAGAGCAGACAACCUUGGAGUCGCCGCAGACAUCCUUCAAGUGUAGCAUCGAAGUUGAUACAAGACAAGGAGGAAGGCGCCAAUCAGCCGUGCUGGCUGCUGCGACUGUCAGUGCUCUGGUAGCGCGGUACUCCUGGUCAAGAGACUGCGGCACAGCUGCAGGCCGCAGGCGCAUGACUGGCUGCACCAUGGCGGACAGGGGUUCUCAAUCUAUGAGACGCCGAAGAGUGACGGGGAUGCCGGAGUGGACGUGAAGACGGACAUUGCUUGUUUAUUUGCUGAAUUUGGUUCACUUUUGGAUAAGCCAUACAUCAGGGAAUCAAUCAGCAUGAAAACCAUUGAAAAGGGCGGGAGUUUACCUGGCACCGCACAGUUGCCGUGUCAGGCGGCGCGCCAUGGGCGCGCCCCAACCGCUAGUAUUACACCAUAUGUGGUUGCAUGUUCUCUUUCACAAAUAUUAUGUGGUACCAGAGCACAUAGACCUCAUGCUAAUGCCUCUUCUUAGGAGCAACCGAGUUGCGAGUGGGGCUUCUUUUUCCAUCAUUGGCACUUCAUGCACCAUCAUGACCAACUUGUGUUGCAUCUCCAAUCAAUUUUUCCUUCUUGUAAGGAACUUUGUUUUACUCA